rnacentral:rRNA from 1 species
CCUACGGGAGGCUGCAGUGGGGAAUAUUGGACAAUGGGGGCAACCCUGAUCCAGCCAUGCCGCGUGUGUGAAGAAGGCCCUUGGGUUGUAAAGCACUUUCAGUGAGGAAGAACGCCUGGUGGUUAAUACCCAUCAGGAAAGACAUCACUCACAGAAGAAGCACCGGCUAACUCCGUGCCAGCAGCCGCGGUAAUACGGAGGGUGCGAGCGUUAAUCGGAAUUACUGGGCGUAAAGCGCGCGUAGGUGGCUUGAUAAGCCGGUUGUGAAAGCCCCGGGCUCAACCUGGGAACGGCAUCCGGAACUGUCAAGCUAGAGUGCAGGAGAGGAAGGUAGAAUUCCCGGUGUAGCGGUGAAAUGCGUAGAGAUCGGGAGGAAUACCAGUGGCGAAGGCGGCCUUCUGGACUGACACUGACACUGAGGUGCGAAAGCGUGGGUAGCAAACAGGAUUAGAUACCCCAGUAGUC